AUUGAACGCUGGCGGCAGGCCUAACACAUGCAAGUCGGACGGCAGCACGGGAGCUUGCUCCUGGUGGCGAGUGGCGGACGGGUGAGUAGCGCUUGGGAAUCUGCCUGGCAUUGGGGGAUAACUCGGGGAAACUCGAGCUAAUACCGCGUACGCCCUGAGGGGGAAAGCAGGGGACUUGCUUGCAAGCCUUGCGAUGUCAGAUGAGCCCAAGCCGGAUUAGCUAGUUGGUNGGGUAAAGGCCUACCAAGGCGACGAUCCGUAGCUGGUCUGAGAGGAUGAUCAGCCACACUGGGACUGAGACACGGCCCAGACUCCUACGGGAGGCAGCAGUGGGGAAUAUUGGACAAUGGGGGCAACCCUGAUCCAGCCAUGCCGCGUGUGUGAAGAAGGUCUUAGGAUUGUAAAGCACUUUAAGUCAGGAGGAAGGCGCUCUGGUUAAUACCUGGAGUGAUUGACGUUACUGACAGAAUAAGCACCGGCUAACUUCGUGCCAGCAGCCGCGGUAAUACGAAGGGUGCAAGCGUUAAUCGGAAUUACUGGGCGUAAAGCGCGCGCAGGCGGUUCGAUAAGAAAGAUGUGAAAGGCCUGGGCUCAACCUGGGAAUGGCAUUUUUAACUGUCGGGCUAGAGUACGGUAGAGGGUGGUGGAAUUUCCUGUGUAGCGGUGAAAUGCGUAGAUAUAGGAAGGAACAUCAGUGGCGAAGGCGACCACCUGGACUGAUACUGACGCUCAUGUGCGAAAGCGUGGGGAGCAAACAGGAUUAGAUNCCCUGGUAGUCCACGCUGUAAACGAUGUCAACUAACCGUUGGUCUCCUNGUGGGAUAAGUGGCGCAGCUAACGCGAUAAGUUGACCGCCUGGGGAGUACGGCCGCAAGGUUAAAACUCAAAUGAAUUGACGGGGGCCCGCACAAGCGGUGGAGCAUGUGGUUUAAUUCGACGCAACGCGAAGAACCUUACCUGGCCUUGACAUCCACAGAACCUGCCAGAGAUGGCGGGGUGCCUUCGGGANCUGUGAGACAGGUGCUGCAUGGCUGUCGUCAGCUCGUGUCGUGAGAUGUUGGGUUAAGUCCCGUAACGAGCGCAACCCCUGUCCUUAAUUACCAGCACGC
rnacentral:rRNA from 1 species